GAAAGAGUAGUCUGGUGAACGUUGGAUUUUCAAGAGCAUUGUUUUUCGAGAUUGGGAGUAUAAAUGUAGGUAUUUUCGGCAUCAACCAUGGAGGAUUUAGCAGAUUUUCGGGAAAACUAACGGAGGUAAACAGGGAAACUUUUAAAGCUAACAGUUGGAACUUGCACAACACAACACUUGGGGUACUUCUGGUGUUCCAUAAGCUUUAUGAGGUAAAGGCAGGCUAACCAUUCACAUCUGCAAUGAAUGGGGGUUAUGCCUGUGUCCAGCCACAGAUGUGCACGAGGAGUGGAGUUUGGAGCCAGAAGGAUUGCACGAAGAAUUGAGUUUUGGAUUGUAUCCAGCUUCCUGGUAAGGGGAGAUCUGCCCUGAAGGAUACUUAGGUUCAGAUUCUUCCUAACCAGGAUUUUGAAGAAGUUUGCUCUUCGAGAAACCUUUGUAACUAAAUCUUGCAGAUGUUGGUUCCAGUUGAGCUUACGGUCAAAGGUGAUACCCAGGAAUUUGCCAUGACUGACGGCAGGGAUACUCUCACUGUUAAAGGUCAGAUGGAGAGGGACGUAGUUCUUAAUUCUUCUGUUGAACGAUAUGGAGAAACACUUGGACACAGAGAUUUGGAAUCUCCAGGUAGCACACCAUCUUUCAAAUUUUCUUAUUGCAGUUUCUAGCCUUUUUCGGGCUUUGCUUCUUAGGGAGUGAGUGCAGCGGGCUGAGAUGUCAUCCGCGAACAUUUUGACGAUAACGCCUAAAUUGUUUUUCGGGUUCCUACACAAGGGGAAGUCACGGGUCAUGAUAGUGAAGAGAAUGGGGCCCAGUACUGAGCCUUGGGGAACUCCGACGGAGAUGAUUUUGGCAUGUGACAGUGUACUGUCUAGUUUGACCCGAACCUUCCGCUGUAGCAGGAAGUUCAGGAGCCAUUUGAGGAUGUUCCCUGUAACUCGCGCUUGACUUAUUUUGAAGAGCAGCCCGGGUAGCCACACCAGGUCGUAAGCUUUUUUAAUGUCUAGAAAGACGCAGUGAGUUUCUUUUUUCUUGUUGAAGCCCGAGGUGACGGCAUUCUCCAAAUCCCAUAGGUGGUCGUGUGUGGAACAGCCCUUACGAAAUCCUGCUUGGCUUGAGGGGAGUAUGUUGUAGUGCUCGAGGUGGCAAUGAGAUUCUGAUAACAAAACAUUAGUCCUAUACCUCUCAAUGAGCACUCGUAUAGUUUUAUGAAUGCAACGUAGUAGGUUGCUAACAGUUUUUUGGUUUGUCAGCUGACAUAGUUGAUUAAAAGACGUGUACCAUAAACACCAAGCAUUCUGUGGGCUUCACUUCUAAAACACACUCAGGGAUGAAAACGUACAGAAGCACCAUUAGUUUUUCUUAAGUUUUCCAUUGGAAUAUGACAUAUUUAACAGAAACUUUCGAACACAGCUUUCACCGUUCACACUUAGUCAGCAAGUAAAUAGUGACACAGCAGCGUCAUCUUGUUUUCCAAUUAACAACCGAAAAAUUCAUCAAAAUUGAAAAUAUUGCUUUUUUGAGACGGGAACUGCAUUGAUGUGAACUCUUUAAACAUACUUUUAGAUCGUGAAUCACUCACACACAAUCACAUUUUUUCACUGACUUUUAUUUAUUUAUCCAAAAACCUAGAUAUUUCUAGGAAAAUACAUGAUUUGGGUUCACAGUUCAACAAGGAUGCUGAUUGCGCUUCACACACAUCUAGAAAUUUCGCAAGUUGACGUAUCUCUGGAUUGUUAGCUAGUCAACAUCUGCAUGAUAAUACACUUUUCUUUUUUUUUGAACAGCUGCAAUGGUAUUUCGGUCAUAAGUUCCACGGAAAAAUUUCUCCAUUGAGGCAAGAACGCCAAUUGUGCGUUAUCUUGUGCCUAUUUUCAAUUAAAUGGAUACGCCGUCACUUUUCUGAUCGGAAGAGCUCACUUUGGCCUGGAAUAUUGUUUUGA